rnacentral:rRNA from 1 species
UACGAAGGGGGCUAGCGUUGUUCGGAUUUACUGGGCGUAAAGCGCACGUAGGCGGAUCGUUAAGUCGGGGGUGAAAUCCUGGAGCUCAACUCCAGAACUGCCUUCGAUACUGGCGAUCUUGAGUCCGGAAGAGGUGAGUGGAACUCCUAGUGUAGAGGUGGAAUUCGUAGAUAUUAGGAAGAACACCAGUGGCGAAGGCGACCACCUGGACUGAUACUGACACUGAGGUGCGAAAGCGUGGGGAGCAAACAGGAUUAGAAACCCGGGUAGU